GACGGAGGAUGCAAGCGUUAUCCGGAAUGAUUGGGCGUAAAGCGUCCGCAGGUGGCAGUUCAAGUCUGCUGUCAAAGACCGGGGCUUAACUUCGGAAAGGCAGUGGAAACUGAACAGCUAGAGUAUGGUAGGGGCAGAGGGAAUCCUGGUGUAGCGGUGAAAUGCGUAGAGAUCAGGAAGAACAUCGGUGGCGAAGGCGCUCUGCUGGACCAUAACUGACACUCAGGGACGAAAGCUAGGGGAGCGAAUGGG
rnacentral:rRNA from 1 species